CUAAUCAGUUAGUGAACACUUCUCUAAACUAAAGCUGGUAGGAUUCCUCUGGUAGUGUUGUCUGUCCUCUGUGACUUUACCACCACUGUUAAAUCAGAGAUCAACAUGUUUAAUAAAGGAUUAUACAACAUGGAUCACUAUCACUACUGCUGCUGCUGUUGUCUUUCGUAUGGACAAUAUGGAGGAAUAAUAGCAACACUGAUCUAAUGCUGGACUGUACCUCCAGACUAGGAGAACACCUGAUACACAGAGGAAGGAAAAAUACUACUAUCUGGAUUUAAGAUACAAUUCAUAUUUGUAUUAUCUAGAAACAGCUAAUAUGAAGUGUUUGUUCUACUUGGAAGACGUUAGAGUGUAUUAGUGUUGAUUAUGAUUCUGUAUGAGUGAUCUUCAGUGUAACAGCUGCAGCAACACAACACAGAGAGGUUUUUGUACCAGCAGUAAUAGUGAUUGUAUCACUGUGGUGGACUUUUGGUAGCGGCACCAGACUUGAUGUUGGAAGUAACAGUUCCCCCACCCUCACCGUCCUGUCCCCCUCUAGUGAGGAGCUGUCCAGUACAACAACAGCCACACUGAUGUGUCUGGCCAACAAGGGCUUCCCCUCAGACUGGACCUUGAGCUGGAAAGUGGACGGGACCAGCCAGAACCAGAAGACCAGUCCCGGGGUCCUGGAGAAGGAUGGCCUGUACAGCUGGAGCAGCACCCUGACUCUCACUGCCCAGGAGUGGACCAAGGCAGGAGAGGUGACCUGUGAAGCCCAGCAUAUAUCCCAGACUCCAGUCACCAAGACCCUGAGGAGGGCUGACUGUUCUGGGUAGGACCCCUCAGACACCCCUGUGGAGGGAGGCUGCAGGUUCCUCUGCUUUGACUCUGUUCUGAGAUCAGAUGUUCUCUGUCUUAUUGAUCACUGACAUGUAGACUAACAGGGGGCUUUGCUUGAGUUCAUGUGUCAAUCCUCUCUGUAUACUGAGGUUGUAUCAGUGUUGGAUGUGAUGUGUUCUGUUUUAUUACUAUUAGAUACUGUAGGAAUGUUUGCUUUGAUGAAAAUAAAGAUUUCCCUUUGGAACAAAUA